rnacentral:rRNA from 1 species
CCUACGGGAGGCAGCAGUGGGGAAUAUUGCACAAUGGGGGAAACCCUGAUGCAGCGACGCCGCGUGAGUGAAGAAGUAUUUCGGUAUGUAAAGCUCUAUCAGCAGGGAAGAAAAUGACGGUACCUGAUUAAGAAGCCCCGGCUAACUACGUGCCAGCAGCCGCGGUCAUACGUAGGGGGCAAGCGUUAUCCGGAUUUACUGGGGGUAAAGGGAGCGUAGACGGCAGCACAAGUCUGGAGUGAAAUGCCGGGGCUUAACCCCGGAACUGCUUUGGAAACUGGGCAGCUAGAGUGCAGGAGAGGUAAGUGGAAUUCCUAGUGUAGCGGUGAAAUGCGUAGAUAUUAGGAGGAACACCAGUGGCGAAGGCGGCUUACUGGACUGUAACUGACGUUGAGGUUCGAAAGCGUGGGGAGCAAACAGGAUUAGAUACCCCAGUAGUC